rnacentral:misc_RNA from 1 species
CGUUAGCGAUAGAAGCGGCAUCCUUUUGCCCGGCAAAAGAUAUAGCGGAAAGGUACUGUC